ACCCUCCAACUGAACUGGUC
rnacentral:siRNA from 1 species